rnacentral:pre_miRNA from 1 species
UUUCUACUCCCUCCGUUCCGAAUUACUUGUCUUGGAUUUGUCUAGAUACAUCCGUAUCUAGAUUCAUUUUAGUGCUAGAUACAUCCGUAUCUAGACAAAUCUAAGACAAGUAAUUCAGAACGGAGGGAGUAUAUU